GUACUCUGGUUUCACUGCAUUCGCAUAAAUCUUUCGCCUUUUACUAAAGAUUUCCGUGCAGAGGAACAACUUAAUGAGUCUAUAGACUAAUUUUUAGCUGCCCGACCGAAAGAGAGGGCU